rnacentral:siRNA from 1 species
UUGAGGAUGGGCAAGCCUACAA